rnacentral:tRNA from 1 species
GGAGUUGUAGCUCAGCGUUAGAGUGCUCAUCUAGCACAUUCGAGGCCCUGGGUUCGAUCCUCAGCACCA